UCUACGGGUGGCUGCAGUGGGGAAUAUUGGACAAUGGGCGAAAGCCUGAUCCAGCCAUGCCGCGUGUGUGAAGAAGGCCUUCGGGUUGUAAAGCACUUUCAGUGGGGACGAAAGCCUUUGGGCUAAUACCCUCGAGGAAGGACAUCACCCACAGAAGAAGCACCGGCUAACUCCGUGCCAGCAGCCGCGGUAAUACGGAGGGUGCGAGCGUUAAUCGGAAUUACUGGGCGUAAAGCGCGCGUAGGCGGUCUGAUAAGCCGGUUGUGAAAGCCCCGGGCUCAACCUGGGAACGGCAUCCGGAACUGUCAGGCUAGAGUGCAGGAGAGGAAGGUAGAAUUCCCGGUGUAGCGGUGAAAUGCGUAGAGAUCGGGAGGAAUACCAGUGGCGAAGGCGGCCUUCUGGACUGACACUGACGCUGAGGUGCGAAAGCGUGGGUAGCAAACAGGAUUAGAUACCCUAGUAGUC
rnacentral:rRNA from 1 species